AUUGGACACUUAAAAGAAGUGGAGGAUCUAUCGGUUUUGUGAGGAAAGAAAAGAUGAGAGCUCGGUGACCGUCGCCGAGGCCUUCUCCUUCAGCUGGUCCAUGUCCAUGUUCUGCAAGUUUUGAAUUUGACCCAGGAGGGAGUCUUUGCCUUCCUCCUCCGUAGCGUCCUCAUCCACCAUCUUGAGCAGCUCCUCGGGCACGUCCACGUCAUCCCCGGCCAUCUCGAUCAUGUUCUCAUCCUGCUCGCUCUGCACGUGACAACAUCAGAACAGAGAGCACGGUCAGAAUCCAGGAACAUCAGUGCGUUAAGAGUCCUUGGAAAUCCUGGAAUAGCUCGCUUUGAACCCUCUAAAGUAGAUGCUGCUGUUUCUUAAAGCCAGAUCACUCUGAAUCACUUUGGUGCUUCCUGAUGAGCCUGGGACACCUGUUCAGUGGCAAUUGGCUUUGUCCGACUCAAGGUGCAGUGCGCAACACAUAGGCUAACGUCUCCAGGACGCUGGCUGAAUCUCUUUUUCCACUAAUCUACUGGCAUGACUUCUACCUCCUGUUGUCCAGGCCGGAGCUGCCAAGCACUACUAUUAGACUAAGAUAACCUAAACCAACCAUGAAGUAGCUAUUUCUACCUGCAGACAGGGCACUUAGCUCAGCCAUCUUAUUUUCUUUCCCAAUAAAGCUAAUAAAGGGUUGUCAAUUAUUAUUACCUGCCCUAAUCCUUAAAAAAUCCCUCAUAAAUACCUGUAAUCUAAUUAAAAAAUUAUAUUUAAACAAUGUAAAACACAUUUAUUGUGAGCGGAUACAGUAUAAGCAUGUUUUAAUGUUUUCUUUUAAACCAAAACCACCAGGGGCUAUUAGGUAUAUUAAUAUAUUUAUAUUUGCAAUUUUAAUUGUACUCACCUCUGUUUAUAGCUAGCUUCUAUGAAAAUAUAUUGAAUGUUCAUAUGUUUCUAAAAUGCUUGCAAAAGUGAACUCUUGUAUUGAAAGUGCAUCUUUGAAGUCUAUUAACUCAAGUAAACCAAGAACUGUAAUUUACUAUAUUAGUAGACAAUGGUGUACUAGCGAGAAUCAUCAAAAAGCAAUGAAAAUUAUUCAGAUUUCAUGGAACCUGACACAGCCUUAAUUAAUAUAAUGAAUCUGUACCAAACUUGAGUAAAUCCCCAAACUAAAAGUAAAAAAA